rnacentral:rRNA from 1 species
UUUUUUCGGUGCAAGAUGAGCUCGCGGCCUAUCAGCUUGUUGGUGGGGUAAUGGCCUACCAAGGCGUCGACGGGUAGCCGGCCUGAGAGGGUGUACGGCCACAUUGGGACUGAGAUACGGCCCAGACUCCUACGGGAGGCAGCAGUGGGGAAUAUUGCACAAUGGGCGGAAGCCUGAUGCAGCGACGCCGCGUGGGGGAUGAAGGCCUUCGGGUUGUAAACUCCUUUCGACAGGGACGAAGCGUAAGUGACGGUACCUGUAUAAGAAGCACC